UUACGGCCAUAUCACGUUGCAACACUGGUUCUCGUACGACCACGGAAGUUAAGCAACGUUGAACCUGGUGAGUACCUCGAUGAGUGACCGCUUUGGAAUACCGGGUUCUGUAAG